GGUUGAGUGAAAACUUCAAGAAUUGUUAGUCGGGGAGCUAACU
rnacentral:ncRNA from 2 species